rnacentral:rRNA from 1 species
GUCUAUGGCCAUACCACCUUGAACAUGCCCAAUCUUGUCUGAUCUGAGAAGCUAAACAGGGUCGGGCCUGGUUAGUACUUGGAUGGGAGACAGAUGUUCAGAAGAGACU